GACGAACGCUGGCGGCGUGCUUAACACAUGCAAGUCGAACGGAAAGGCCCUGCUUUUGUGGGGUGCUCGAGUGGCGAACGGGUGAGUAACACGUGAGUAACCUGCCCUUGACUUUGGGAUAACUUCAGGAAACUGGGGCUAAUACCGGAUAGGAGCUCCUGCUGCAUGGUGGGGGUUGGAAAGUUUCGGCGGUUGGGGAUGGACUCGCGGCUUAUCAGCUUGUUGGUGGGGUAGUGGCUUACCAAGGCUUUGACGGGUAGCCGGCCUGAGAGGGUGACCGGCCAGCGAGGGACGGAGAUACGGCCGAGACUCACACGGGAGGGAGGAGUGGGGAAUGAUGAACAAAGGGCGGAAGCAUGAUGCAGCAACGACGCCUGCGGGAUGACGGAAUUCGGGUUGUAAACAGAUUUCGCCUGUGAGGAAGCGUGAGGGAAGGUAAUGGGGAAAGAAGCACCGGCAAACUACGU
rnacentral:rRNA from 1 species